rnacentral:rRNA from 1 species
UGAGGGGGGCUGCUCCUAGUACGAGAGGACCGGAGUGGACGCAUCACUGGUGUUCGGGUUGUCAUGCCAAUGGCACUGCCCGGUAGCUAAAUGCGGAAGAGAUAAGUGCUGAAAGCAUCUAAGCACGAAACUUGCCCCGAGAUGAGUUCUCCCUGACUCCUUGAGAGUCCUGAAGGAGCGUUGAAGACGACGACGUUGAUAGGCCGGGUGUGUAAGCGCAGCGAUGCGUUGAGCUAACCGGUACUAAUGAACCGUGAGGCUUAACCUUACAACGCCGAAG